AGUGAACGCUGGCGGUAGGCCUAACACAUGCAAGUCGAACGGCAGCACAGUAAGAGCUUGCUCUUACGGGUGGCGAGUGGCGGACGGGUGAGGAAUACAUCGGAAUCUACUUUUUCGUGGGGGAUAACGUAGGUAAACUUACGCUAAUACCGCAUCCGACCUACGGGUGAAAGCAGGGGAUCUUCGGACCUUGCGCGAUUGAAUGAGCCGAUGUCGGAUUAGCUAGUUGGCGGGGUAAAGGCCCACCAAGGCGACGAUCCGUAGCUGGUCUGAGAGGAUGAUCAGCCACACUGGAACUGAGACACGGUCAAGACUCCUACGGGAGGCAGCAGUGGGGAAUAUUGGACAAUGGGCGCAAGCAUGAUCCAGCCAUACCGCGUGGGUGAAGAAGGCCUUCGGGUUGUAAAGACCCUUUGUUGGGAAAGAAAAGCAGCAGGUUAAUACCCAGCUGUUCUGACGGUACCCAAAGAAUAAGCACCGGCUAACUUCGUG
rnacentral:rRNA from 1 species